AACAGCAGGUGAUGCUAUAUUAUCAUAUAGGAGUCUGAAUCUCUACUGCAGUGCUGAAGAAGAAGACGUCACACGCUUUAGUUCAGCGCGCACGGCACGAGCGGCCAUUUCAUUACAGCACGUGUAUGUAGUGGGACCUUGCUUGUUUAAAUUCUUGGUGAAAUUGCAUUUAACGUUAUAUUUUAUGUAUUUUAACAGAACUUAUGUAAACUUAAACAUGUCUUUAGUUAUAACACUUUAGUGAUUAUUUACUAGUUUCACUAUUAGGGUUUAUUGGAGUGUGCGUGUGAUCAGAGAAUAAGAACGUAGAGGGACCAGAAAACGUGGACACCACGAGGCCGAUGCCGUCUUCACUUGCAAUACGACUUGUUAACUUUGCCUUAUUUUAAUAACGCUAUAUAAAUUAGUAUUUUACUUUACUGUGUGACCCUUAACAUUUCAGUUUGUGUGUAAUAAACAAUUAUUUGGGACUUAAUGGUUGUCUGUGUCUUUAUUCAGUCCAUGUAUGUAAGCACUGUAUCUGAACCCAUGCAGCCUCCUCGUGGCUCAAUGGGUCAAGCAACGGUGCAAAAGUAAAUGGUUGUUAUAACUGGGGCUUCAUGGAAUUUACGCCAAGUUGCUCUUUUAAAAGCAAUCUACAUUUCUUUUGAAAAGCUUUCACAUUAAUUUUGUUUGUUCACAAUGGCUAUAGAUUUUUGGGCAUUUCUGUUUAUCAAUUUUCACCUAUGUUGGAAAUUAACCACUUUUAAAAUAAAUCAAGCAUAAAUUUAUCAGAUAACAUUUUAACAUAUGCAAAUAAAUGUGCAAAAUGAUGA